UGGGGAAUAUUGCACAAUGGGCGCAAGCCUGAUGCAGCCAUGCCGCGUGUGUCGAAGAAGGCCUUCGGGUUGUAAAGCACUUUCAGCGAGGAGGAAGGUGGUGAGCUUAAUACGCUCAUCAAUUGACGUUACUCGCAGAAGAAGCACCGGCUAACUCCGUGCCAGCAGCCGCGGUAAUACGGAGGGUGCAAGCGUUAAUCGGAAUUACUGGGCGUAAAGCGCACGCAGGCGGUUUGUUAAGUCAGAUGUGAAAUCCCCGGGCUCAACCUGGGAACUGCAUUUGAAACUGGCAAGCUAGAGUCUCGUAGAGGGGGGUAGAAUUCCAGGUGUAGCGGUGAAAUGCGUAGAGAUCUGGAGGAAUACCGGUGGCGAAGGCGGCCCCCUGGACGAAGACUGACGCUCAGGUGCGAAAGCGUGGGGCAGCAAACAGGAUUAGAUACCCUGGUAGUCCACGCUGUAAACGAUGUCGAUUUUGGAGGUUGUGCCCUUGAGGCGUGGCUUCCGGAGCUAACGCGUUAAAUCGACCGCCUGGGGAGUACGGCCGCAAGGUUAAAACUCAAAUGAAUUGACGGGGUCAUAGCUGUUCC
rnacentral:rRNA from 1 species